GGGCCCGCACAAGCAGUGGAGUAUGUGGUUUAAUUCGACGCAACGCGAAGAACCUUACCAGGUCUUGACAUCCCGUGCAUAGCAUAGAGAUAUGUGAAGCCCUUCGGGGCACGGUGACAGGUGGUGCAUGGUUGUCGUCAGCUCGUGUCGUGAGAUGUUGGGUUAAGUCCCGCAACGAGCGCAACCCUUAUCGUUAGUUACUACGCAAGAGGACUCUAGCGAGACUGCCGUUGACAAAACGGAGGAAGGUGGGGAUGACGUCAAAUCAGCAUGCCCUUUAUGACCUGGGCUACACACGUACUACAAUGGCCGUCAACAGAGAGAAGCGAUACCGCGAGGUGGAGCAAAACUCAGAAAAACGGUCUCAGUUCGGAUUGGAGGCUGCAACCCGCCUCCAUGAAGCCGGAAUUGCUAGUAAUCGCGGAUCAGCAUGCCGCGGUGAAUACG
rnacentral:rRNA from 2 species